GUUUGGUUCCAGGCCUAGUAGUGACCCCCAAGCUUCCUGAAUGUGCCUGAGUGUAUCACAAAAUACUCCGUGGAAAGAGGGAAGCUUCGCUGCUGAGAUGCUCUGUUUCAAAUAAGGAUGCUAUGAACGUUGAACACUUUGCUUUGCUGCCUCCUCCAAAACAACAAUAGAUAUACAGUUCAGAUAGCUGUGUCUCAUCCUGGC